AGCUAUGGAAAAUGUCUUCAAAACAAACUAGACUCACAAAUUUAAAUUAAGAGGUCACAGUUCUCACUUUAUACAUGUUAUUCCUAAACCUGGUAACACUUUUAAACCAAACAACAUUCAAGUAAAAUCCAAAUCCAACAUUUACAACAAGAUAUAGUGUCAGGAAAUGGAAAAUCGAAUAAGCUAAAACUAUGAGAACAUGAAACCAAUAUUUGUAAUUUCUUCAACUUUGUGUUUCAUAUCUUCACACAAGAGCUUAAUCAAAGCUUCAUUUCCCAAUCAUGGAUCAAAGAAAAUAGCUGGAAAUUAAUAAGGAAGCAAAGGGAAUGAAGAGUUAACAACAACAACAGCAGAAACAACCCAAAAUCAGCAAUAAAAUAGUACCAAAUAACAAACUCAAACCAAGUUUCGAAACCUCAAAACUCAAGCCAAUUUUCUACCCAAAUGUAAGACUUCAAAACCUUCCAAAAUUUCUAGCUAACAAAGAAGAUUAGAAAACCAGAAGCUAGAAAAAUUUGAGCAAUUUUCAGCGCUUUUUACUUGAGAGAAAAUACCCAGCCGUUUUCAAUUUUUUGUGUUUUUCAAUCUCUGAAUUUCCGUCCUCAACUUCAAGUAACAAUGCCUUUAUUGGCAAGCCAAUCGGGCAACCUUAAAGGUUCAGUUUUUGUACUUUUCCCCUUUUCUAAUUUUUGUUUUUAGAAUUUAGCACAAACCUUCAAUUAAAAAAAUACGAACAAAAGCUAAAUAAGGUCUCUUUUAAGCAAAAGUCAUUAAACUAAUCAACAAACAAACAAUCGACUGAGUAGUCCAUUAUGCCCUAAAAGUUAUCCUAAUUGCUCUGAGACAGAAAAGGAAAAAAAUGAAUAGUAUAAAAAGUAUAAAAAAGAAACAAAAAAUGAAUGAAGAAGGGGAAAAGAUAUACCGAAACGAAUACUUCAACAUGCUAGAAAAGGGGAGUAAUAGAUCCACUUGAGACUUCAAUGAGCACUAAACUCGGGCAAAUGGUGGGGAUUGUUACAUGAAUAUUAACCGAAUUUUUAUCCAUGGGAAAGGGUUCAUGCAGCAAUUCUCACCAUGUGCCAAAAUGGAAAUAAAGCAGAAGCUUGAAGAAAUUGGAGCAUUUGGGAUUUUAGGGUUAAAUUUUGAUCUAAGAUUCGAGGAGUUUGGGCAAGAUUCAAAGGAAACUGGUCUGAAAUUUGGGAAGAGGGGGUCGUGGUGGUUCUAUGGUAUUAUUUUGGUGGGGUUUGGAGGUGGCGCCGCCACCCUAAGGCGGUACUAGUACUAAGAGCUGAAAAUGGGGGUCUAGGGGUCUGUGAUGAUGGUUAUGUUGAGAGAGAUGAGUA
rnacentral:lncRNA from 1 species